GGUGACUCUGGCCACAGUGAGGGCUGAGCACUACUGGGCCUGCGUAGGUUUCAGAAACAUAUGCUGCAGGUGCACAUUCUCUCCAGGGGGUUUGCCUCUUUCUUUUAACAAUGCGUGCCCCUUUGCCUGCUUCCUCUGCAUAGCCUCAACAAGGUUAUAUACAGGAAGCAGAAGGGAAGGCGUGAGCAUGCAGAAAUUAGGCUUAGCUCACUGACAGGGGAAGAAAGAGACCCUGUGCAAGCCCAAUCAAGACAGAAGCUCAAACGGAACUUCAGAAUGAGGUAACUAAGGCACAUGAAGGUCAAGCCCAAGUCACGCAACUGAUGAGUGACAAAACCAGGAUCUGAACCUGGCAGUCUGGCCCCAGAGCCCUCUCUGCCUGCUACCACCUGUCCAUCUGUGGUCAUGGAGCUGAGUCUAGUGAGAUUCCCACCAAGAACAACAACCUUUCCCUUGCCAAUAUCCUCAACUCUUUUGCAUAUAACAUCCUGAUUAGGCAACAUCAGCACGGAAGAAGCCCAGUGUCCACCUUCUUCCUGCCAACGCCUGCGCUGCUGAAUAUUAUUAAGAAAACACGAUGGUGGAGAUACAUUUUCAGCAUGAGACACACCCUUAGAGUCAAGGAAACUUUUCUUUUGAGCUAUUGACAGCUUUAACAAUUUAGUAUACUCCUAUGAACACAAUUUGGAGCAUAUCUGUUUCCCUCUACCUGAUUUCUCCAGAAUUUGGAAACUAUCUGUGAG
rnacentral:lncRNA from 1 species